UGGGGAAUAUUGCACAAUGGGCGCAAGCCUGAUGCAGCCAUGCCGCGUGUAUGAAGAAGGCCUUCGGGUUGUAAAGUACUUUCAGCGGGGAGGAAGGUGUUGAGGCUAAUAACCUCAGCAAUUGACGUUACCCGCAGAAGAAGCACCGGCUAACUCCGUGCCAGCAGCCGCGGUAAUACGGAGGGUGCAAGCGUUAAUCGGAAUUACUGGGCGUAAAGCGCACGCAGGCGGUCUGUCAAGUCGGAUGUGAAAUCCCCGGGCUCAACCUGGGAACUGCAUUCGAAACUGGCAGGCUAGAGUCUUGUAGAGGGGGGUAGAAUUCCAGGUGUAGCGGUGAAAUGCGUAGAGAUCUGGAGGAAUACCGGUGGCGAAGGCGGCCCCCUGGACAAAGACUGACGCUCAGGUGCGAAAGCGAGGGGAGCAAACA
rnacentral:rRNA from 1 species